CUAACGCUUCUGUGUCACUUACACUGGUGCCAGACAGGCAUUUUGUGUCUCACUGAGAAAGCGCAGAGCGCGUUCAGGGGGUCGGCUGGUAUUACAGCCUUCGCUUUGGGCUGGAGUGGAUGAAACGUUUCUCCCAGAGUUGCAGGUUUGGAGGCUUGGAUUUCGUUUCCUAGCUUCAGCCAGAUGUCCUCUUCCCUCAAGUGUAAAUGUUGGGCCAAGCCCAGGAAGGAAUCUCGUGACCCGAGACAGGCUGCGUUGUGAAAUCAGCAGCUUUUCAAGGACCAGAAUGAACUGAACAGUCACCUCCGGGCAGCAAUCUGCCUCUGCGCGUGUUUUCAUCUCUCUCCAACGCACAUUUUGGGAAAGUGGAGAGCACAUGACGAGCAGAUGCAGGAUGAUGGAGGAAUGCAGCCUGUGAGAGGCGUUCGUGCACAGACGCAGGCGAGUGCCCACUUAUUUGAGAUCUAACAUUUUAUUAAAUAUGAAAUAAGUCCCCGGUUUUCUAAUAAAACAUUGCUAUUCACUUUAGGAACUGUGGAAUUACCACUGAGCUGAAGCUUCCCGAACACCACUGUAUCAACAAAUUUGAUGACUCCAGUUGAGUUGUUUGCUGGGUUGACGCCGUAUUUCCUGAAACUAUAUAAAUAAUCACUGCGUUGGCUAAAAAAUGUAGACUAAAACCUUUUUCUGAGUUUGUGAAUAUUUAAGGUUUUGAAGAAAGAGAUGAUGUGUUCAGGUCCCCCUGAGACGUCAGAGUUUAAAGUUC